GAUGAACGCUGGCGGCGUGCCUAAUACAUGCAAGUCGAGCGAACAGAUGAGGAGCUUGCUCCUCUGACGUUAGCGGCGGACGGGUGAGUAACACGUGGAUAACCUACCUAUAAGACUGGGAUAACUUCGGGACACCGGAGCUAAUACCGGAUAAUAUAUUGAACCGCAUGGUUCAAUAGUGAAAGACGGCUUUUCUGUCACUUCUUGCUGGAUCCGCGCCGCAUUAGCUGGUUGGUAAGGUAACGGCUUAUCAAGGCAACGAUGCGUAGCCGAAGUGAGAGGGGGAUAGGCCACAUGGGAACUGAGACACGGUCCAGGCUCCUACGAGAGGCAGCAGUAGGGAAUCUUCCGCAAUGGGGGAAAGCCUGACGGAGCAACGCCGCGUGAGUGAUGAAGGUCUUCGGAUCGUAAAACUCUGUUAUUAGGGAAGAACAAAUGUGGAAGUAACUAUGCACGUAUUGACGGUACCGGAUCAGAAAGCCACGGCUAACUACGUG
rnacentral:rRNA from 1 species